GACGAACGCUGGCGGCGUGCUUAACACAUGCAAGUCGAGCGGUAAGGCCCUUUCGGGGGUACACGAGCGGCGAACGGGUGAGUAACACGUGGGUGACCUGCCUUUAGCUCUGGGAUAAGCCUGGGAAACUGGGUCUAAUACCGGAUAUGACCCUAUGGCGCAUGUUGGUGGGGUAGGAAAGCCUUGUGCGGACGUAGGGAUCGGGCCCGCGGCCUAUCAGCUUGGUUGGGUGGGGUGAUGGCCUACCGAAGGCCGACGACGGGUAGCCGGCCUGAGAGGGCGACCGGCCACACUGGGACUGAGAC
rnacentral:rRNA from 1 species